rnacentral:rRNA from 1 species
AACGAACGCUGGCGGCAUGCCUAACACAUGCAAGUCGAACGGUAGAGGGGGCAACCCCUCGAGAGUGGCGAACGGGUGAGUAAUAUAUCGGAACGUGCCCAGUCGUGGGGGAUAACGUAGCGAAAGUUACGCUAAUACCGCAUACGAUCCAAGGAUGAAAGCGGGGGAUCGCAAGACCCCGCGCGAUUGGAGCGGCCGAUAUCAGAUUAGGUAGUUGGUGGGGUAAAGGCUCACCAAGCCAACGAUCUGUAGCUGGUCUGAGAGGACGACCAGCCACACUGGAACUGAGACACGGUCCAGACUCCUACGGGAGGCAGCAGUGGGGAAUGUUGGACAAUGGACGCAAGGCUGAUCCAGCCAUUCCGCGUGCAGGAUGAAGGCCCUCGGGUUGUAAACUGCUUUUGUACGGAACGAAAAGGUCUCUCUUAAUACGGGGGACUCAUGACGGUACCGUAAGAAUAAGCACCGGCUAACUACGUGCCAGCAGCAGCCGCGG